UUCGGUAACAAAAGAACGUGUGGUGUGCUCCGUUCCAUAAUUAAAUUUAUGUCAUCAAUUUGUCACUCCUUUCACAAUAUUAACAGAAUCAAAGCAAUAGGAUUUGGAAUCUCACAAGUUGAGUUGAGGCAUCUUCAAUCCAAGUAUAUUUGCUAAAUUCUUUGCUUUUAAAAUAUAUAUAAAAAAAAAAACUUUACAAUAUUCCGUAUGGUUUUAGUAAGAGUUUCUGUAUUAAUUGGUUAUACGUAAAGUUUCAGGAUGCCGUGACAAAUCAGAUGCUCCGAAAGCAAUCUCCGAAUAAUCAAACAAUCCGUCCAGCGCCACAUAGUCG
rnacentral:lncRNA from 1 species